rnacentral:rRNA from 1 species
AAAUUGAAGAGUUUGAUCAUGGCUCAGAUUGAACGCUGGCGGCAGGCCUAACACAUGCAAGUCGAACGGUAACAGGAAACAGCUUGCUGUUUCGCUGACGAGUGGCGGACGGGUGAGUAAUGUCUGGGAAACUGCCCGAUGGAGGGGGAUAACUACUGGAAACGGUAGCUAAUACCGC